GAUGAAUGCUGGCGACAUGGAUAAGGCAUGCAAGUCAAGGGGGCCGCAAGGCAACCGGCAGACGAGGUAGUAACACGUAGGUACGCACCCCAGAGUCUGGUAUAGCUCGUCGAAAGACGGGGUAAUCCCGGAUGGUCCCGUAAGGGUAAAGAUUUAUCGCUCUGGGAGCGGCCUGCGUAAUAUCAGCUAGUUGGUAAGGUAAUGGCUUACCAAGGCUACGACGUUUAGGGGAGCUGAGAGGCUGACCCCCACCGAUGGGACUGAGACACGGCCCAUACUCCUACGGGAGGCCGCAGUCGAGAAUCUUCCACAAUGGACGAAAGUCUGAUGGAGCGAUGUCGCGUGAUGGACGAAGUGCUUCGGUACGUAAACAUCUUUUAUGUGGGACGAAAUUAUUGACGGUACCACAUGAAUAAGGGGCUCCUAACUCUGUGCCAGCAGGAGCGGUAAUACAGAGGCCCCAAGCAUUAUCCGGAAUCAUUGGGCGUAAAGGGUGUCAAGGCGGUCAUGUUAGUCUUCCGUAAAAUCCAGGAGCUCAACUUCUGGCCCGCGGGAGAAACGGCAUGACUUGAGGUCAGGAGAGGUGCAUGGAACUCACGGUGUAGGGGUGAAAUCCGUUGAUAUCGUGGGGAACACCAAAGGCGAAGGCAGUGCACUGGCCUGAAUCUGACGCUCACACACGAAAGCCAGGGUAGCGAACGGGAUUAGAUACCCCGGUAGUCCUGGCCCUAAACGUUGCUCGCUCGUUCUGCGGAGUAUCGACCCUCUGCGGGACUAAGCUAACGCGGUAAGCGAGCCGCCUGGGUAGUACGAUCGCAAGGUUAAAACUCAAAGGAAUAGACGGGGACUCGCACAAGCGGUGGAUCAUGUGGCUUAAUUCGUCGGUAAGCGAAGAACCUUACCCAGAUUAGAAAUCCAACUGCACGCCUUCCCCAAAGGAGGGAAGCCUUCGAGGGUGUUGGACAGGUGAUGCAUGGUUGUCGUCAGUUC
rnacentral:rRNA from 1 species